GACGAACGCUGGCGGCGUGCCUAAUACAUGCAAGUUGAGCGCUGAAGGUUGGUACUUGUACCGACUGGAUGAGCAGCGAACGGGUGAGUAACGCGUGGGGAAUCUGCCUUUGAGCGGGGGACAACAUUUGGAAACGAAUGCUAAUACCGCAUAAAAACUUUAAACACAAGUUUUAAGUUUGAAAGAUGCAAUUGCAUCACUCAAAGAUGAUCCCGCGUUGUAUUAGCUAGUUGGUGAGGUAAAGGCUCACCAAGGCGAUGAUACAUAGCCGACCUGAGAGGGUGAUCGGCCACAUUGGGACUGGGACACGGCCCAAACUCCUACGGGAGGGAGCAGUAGGGGAACUUCGGCAAAGGACGGAAGUCUGACCGAGGAACGCCGCGGGGGUGAAGAAGGGUUUCGGGUCGUAAAAAUCUGUUGGUAGAGAAGAACGUUGGUGAGAGUGGAAAGCUCAUCAAGUGACGGUAACUACCCAGAAAGGGACGGCUAACUACGUG
rnacentral:rRNA from 1 species